AGAGAGUUUGAAGAUGAACUAGAGGGACCAAGAUCUAAAUCACUUAAACUGCUGAGUGAUGAAAGUUCCUGGAAAGGGAAGAGCAAGUCUCGCAGAUCUUAUCCUCCUGAUCUAACCUUAUGUUAUGUACGAGGCUAUAAGGCCACCUAUUAUCCAUCACUACAAGAGGAGGCCCAAGGUCGGAACAGUAGAGGAGAAGAAUGAGACAAGAAAGGAUCUAGAAGGAUAAGAAUACAAGGAAGGAGGAGAGGACGUAAUAACCGUAUUGUCUGCGCACAUGGGUUGUCUGUGACGUGGCUAUUUGCUUUAUGCUUUCUAUAAGAGUAGUAAUGAAUAAGAGAAAUGUAUCGAGUGUGAUCAUCGAUCUUUUGUGUGAGGAGAGAGAGUACUCCUGUGUAAAAACUCUAAAACCUUUGUAUUAGCUUGUUCUCCAAGGAAUAUCUUUACAGUUUCUUUACGAGUGCAAACUUUUACAAUCUAGUCGUAUCAAACUUGGUAUCAGAGCAAGACGAACCUGCGGCUUGGCGAUGGCACCAAAGAAGAACGACGACAAGGCGAUCGAGCUGGCCCAACGUGACGACGAGAGAUUUGUCGCGAUGGAGGGGGAGCUAUCAACGAUGAAGGAACAAAUGGGUGAGUUGAUGAAGAUGAUGGCUAGUGGGUUUGAGAAACUCGCGCUGAGGAAGGUAGAUCCGACAGGGGAGAAGGAUCGGCGUGUAGGAGGGCCGAUAACCCCUGAUCUGAUCUCCAACCCAGCCGAUGCUCUCAAACCAACAGCGUAUCAGGGAGAAGGAUCGGGGAAGUCGAUUAUGGAGGAACCAAGGAGCGUUUCCGGUGGAAGGUUCGUAGCGGAGUCGGGGCAGGAGACAAGCUCCGCAGCGACACUAUACCGCCGGAAGACUGCUAUGGAGGAACGAGAAGAUUCACUCGCGCGGAAGAUAGAGAUUCCUCUGUUUGACGGUGACGGAGUGGAGAGUUGGGUGCACCGUGUCGAGCAGUACUUUGAGAUGUUUGAUUUCACGGAGGAAGAGAAGCUACGUGCGGUUAGGAUGUGUUAUACCGGCGAGGCUCUACCGUGGUACCGAUGGGAGAGAAACCGAAACCCGUUUCUCAGUUGGGAGCAGAUGAAGAUUCGGGUGUUGGAACAGUUCUCACCGGCUCAAGAUACGAGUGCAGGGGAGCGGGUGCUGUGCCUGCGACAAAAGGACACCGUACGCAACUACCGCCGCGAUUUCAUCGCACUCGCGUCUAACGCGCCGGAGAUACCAGAUCCGAUACUCGAGAUGGCGUUUCUGAACGGACUGCGACCAAAAAUCAAGGCCGGGGUGAAGUUGAUGAGUCCGAGGGGGUUGCAGAGGGUGAUGGAUGUGGCGAAGUUGGUCGAAGAUUGGUCGGAAGGGGGAGAUACGACGGAGGAAACAUCGGAGGAAAAGGACAAAACGAGUCGUAGCGUUAAUGGACGUCCGCAGGCCCAAAACAAUAAACCGGCCCAACAGAGUGGGAACGGGUCGAGCCCAAACAAGAAUAAAGCUGGUUCCGGGUCUACGACGUCGCAGAACAACACGACCACCAAACCUAACCAUAACCGUCUCAAACCGCCGUUUCGCCGUCUGACUCCGGCGGAGGUGGCAAAAUGGAAGGCUGAGGGACUGUGCUACAGAUGCGAUGAGAAGUACGUCUAUCCGCACCGUUGUUCCCAGGCGGAGCUGCUGGUUAUAAUGGUGCUAGAAGACGGUACGGAGGUGGAUAUAUCGAGUUUAGCGGUGGAGAUGGAUGAAAUGGGGGAAGCGGCCGAGAUCGAGGUGGCAGAGAUAUCGAUUAGCUCCCUCGUUGGCAUAUCAACUUCCAGAACCAUCAAGCUAAAAGGAACGGUGAUGGGAAAGGAAGUGAUAGUCUUGAUUGAUAGUGGGGCGACACACAAUUUUGUGUCCAGAGAGUUGAUGAAGCAACUAGACUUGGGUACCGACGACACACAAGGCUACAGCGUGUUGACGGCAGGAGGAGUCACAUUUAAAGGAGCGGGAUUGUGCAAGGAGAUGGAGGUGGAGUUACAAGGGUGUACUGUGGUUUCCAAUUUCUUACCCUUAGAGUUGGGAAGCGCUGAUGUAAUCUGGGGUAUGCAGUGGCUUGAGACCCUCGGAAAUAUGAAGGUUAACUGGAAGUUGCAGAUACUAAGGUUCAAGAUAGGAGACAACAAGUAUGUACUGCAAGGGGAUCCAGGCCUUUGUUGCUCUGCGGCUUCUCUCAAGUCGAUUUGGAAGACGGUGCAACAAGGGGGAGAAGCAAUGUUGAUUGAGUACAAUGGGUUACAGCUGGAGGAGGAAAAGGGUGGAGGGUCAAUUCCUCAGCCGCUGCAGAACAUUCUGAAGGAGUACGAGGAAGUGUUCGCAGAGCCACAGGGUCUGCCUCCGUCGAGAGGGAAGGAACACGCGAUCGUCCUAAAGACGGAUGCCAGUCCAGUAAGUGUUCGACCCUUUCGUUACCCACAAGCGCAACGGGAGGAGAUCGAGAAGCAGGUGGCAUUGAUGUUGUCGGCGGGAAUUAUCAGGGAUAGUAGCAGCCCUUUCUCGAGUCCGGUACUGCUAGUCAAGAAGAAGGAUGGGAGUUGGAGGUUUUGCGUGGACUAUCGCGCCUUGAAUAAAGUGACCAUCGCCGAUAGUUAUCCGAUACCUAUGAUUGACCAGUUGCUGGAUGAACUACAGGGGGCGAAGGUGUUUUCGAAGCUUGAUCUGAAGUCAGGGUAUCAUCAGAUUCUGGUGAAAGCAGAGGAUGUGCAGAAGACAGCGUUUCGAACCCAUGACGGCCACUACGAAUUCCUUGUUAUGCCGUUUGGGUUAUCCAACGCGCCAGCUACAUUCCAGUCUUUGAUGAAUGAGAUUUUUCGAAGCUACCUGAGGAAGUUUGUUUUGGUCUUCUUCGAUGACAUACUUGUGUACAGUCAGACACAAAGCGAGCACGAAGAACAUUUACGCUUAGUGUUGGAGGUGUUAAAAGAACAGGGCUUGUACGCAAAUCGCAAGAAAUGUGAAUUUGGAAGCUCUCGCAUAGAGUAUCUUGGUCAUGUGAUAAGCGCAGAAGGAGUGGCAGCUGAUGAAGGGAAGGUACGUGCUAUGCUAGACUGGAUGGAACCAAAAGCAGUGAAGGAGCUGAGGGGAUUUUUGGGGUUGACAGGGUACUACAGAAAAUUUGUUCAAGGGUAUGGCGAUAUUGCAAGGCCUCUCACGUCCCUGUUGAGGAAGGAUCAGUUCAAAUGGUCCGGUGAAGCAGCGUUAGCCUUUCAGAAACUGAAGCAGGCAAUGGCGACGGUUCCGGUACUGGCAUUGCCUGAUUUCAACGAGCAAUUCGUGAUAGAGUCGGACGCGUCUGGGGUGGGACUGGGCGCUGUGUUGAUGCAGCGACAGCGACCGAUCGCAUACUUCAGUCAGGCUUUGACGGAGCGACAGCAAAUGAAGUCUGUAUAUGAAAGAGAGCUCAUGGCGAUAGUCUUUGCCAUACAGAAAUGGCGUCACUACUUAUUGGGAAGGAAGUUUGUUGUAAGAACGGACCAGAAAAGUCUUAAGUUCUUGCUGGAGCAGCGGGAGAUUAACAUGGAAUAUCAGCGGUGGUUGACUAAGAUCCUCGGGUUCGAUUUCGAUAUACACUACAAGCCGGGGCUAGAAAAUAAAGCAGCUGACGCCCUGUCUCGGAAGAGUCCAGUUACUGAGCUGUUUGCAGUAUCAGUUCCGGUCUCAAUUCAGUUGGAGGAGGUGGGAUCAGAAGUGGAGCGAGACAGUGAGUUAUCGAAGUUGAUCCAAGAGUUAACUCAGGACCCUAGCUCACACCCUGAUUAUACUCUGGUGCAAGGAAGGUUGCUGAGGCACGGGAAGUUGGUGCUGCCAAAGACAUCCAAGUUGAUUGAGUUGAUACUAAAAGAGUAUCAUGACAGCAAAUAUGGAGGACAUGGGGGGGUACUAAAGACACAGAAGCGCAUUGGAGGGUUGUUUUACUGGGCAGGGAUGAUGACAGACAUCAGGAAGUACGUGGCGUCGUGUCAAACCUGUCAGCGUCACAAGUAUUCAACACUCGCGCCAGGAGGGCUGCUCCAACCCCUACCAGUUCCUACUAACGUCUGGGAGGACAUCUCACUAGACUUCAUCGAAGGGUUACCGAAAUCAGAGGGAGUUAAUGUCAUACUGGUGGUGAUCGACCGACUCACUAAGUAUGCACAUUUCAUCGGCCUUAGACAUCCGUUCACAGCCAUUGACGUUGCAAGGUCUUUUGUCCAGGAGGUGAUCAGGUUACACGGCUACCCUAAGACUAUUGUGUCGGACCGAGACCGUAUCUUCACGGGGCAGUUUUGGAAGGAGCUAUUCAGGUUGUCGGGAACUACUCUGUGUUUCUCAACAGCCUAUCACCCGCAGACGGAUGGGCAGACGGAAGUGACAAACCGAGGGCUUGAGACCUAUUUGAGGUGCUUUGCAGGAGAGAAACCACGGACAUGGGCAAAGUACUUACAGUGGGCUGAGUUCAGUUACAAUACGUCGUAUCAUUCUACCAUCCAGAUGUCUCCUUUUACCGCGUUGUAUGGGCGUGAACCACCAACUCUUCUCCACUACGAGAACGGUUCUACCAACAAUGCUGACUUGGAGUCUCGUCUGCAAGAGAGGGACGACAAUUUGGCUUUGUUGAGACAGCAGCUACUAAAGGCACAACAGAUCAUGAAGGCACGAGCAGAUGAGCAUCGCAGGGAAGUAGAAUUUGAGGUGGGUGAUAAGGUGUUCUUGAAAUUACGUCCCUACAGACAGAAGUCAUUGGCCAGGAAGGUGAAUGAGAAGUUGGCCGCUAGGUUCUACGGACCGUACGAGGUUGCUGCGCGAGUGGGUAAGGUAGCAUAUCGCUUGAACUUACCAGCAGAGGCUCGCAUCCACCCAACAUUCCAUGUUUCUCAGCUUAAGAAAGCAGUGGGCGGGUCUUUGGAAGCAGCCACCAUUCCGCCUCAGCUAACAGAAGAAGGAGUGUUAGAGGUCAAACCGGAAGCAGUGUUGGCACACAGGAGCAACGCGCAGACUGGGCAUGAGGAAGUCUUGGUUAAAUGGAAUGGGUUACCUGCUGCAGAUUGUACGUGGGAGUGGAAGACGUCAUGGAGAAGCAGUUUCCUGAGCUUGACCUUGAGGACAAGGUCAGUUUCAAUGGAGGGAGUAAUGUUAUGUACGAGGCUAUAAGGCCACCUAUUAUCCAUCACUACAAGAGGAGGCCCAAGGUCGGAACAGUAGAGGAGAAGAAUGAGACAAGAAAGGAUCUAGAAGGAUAAGAAUACAAGGAAGGAGGAGAGGACGUAAUAACCGUAUUGUCUGCGCACAUGGGUUGUCUGUGACGUGGCUAUUUGCUUUAUGCUUUCUAUAAGAGUAGUAAUGAAUAAGAGAAAUGUAUCGAGUGUGAUCAUCGAUCUUUUGUGUGAGGAGAGAGAGUACUCCUGUGUAAAAACUCUAAAACCUUUGUAUUAGCUUGUUCUCCAAGGAAUAUCUUUACAGUUUCUUUACGAGUGCAAACUUUUACAAUCUAGUCGUAUCACCUUAUCACCACCCGUUGAUGGUGCUGAUCGUUCCACUACUAGAAGACGGUAUCUUCAGCAGAAGAGUGAUAGCCAUUUGUUUGAGAAAGGGUUAGAGUCUGAGCAUCACAAGAUGAGUGUCAAGAAGGCACGGAGCCACGACUCUUUGGAGUUCAAACCAAGGAAUGAUAAAGCUUCAAGGCGUUCUUCACGAGGUGGCAGUGAAACUUUGGUGGUGAAAGACAACAAAAGAAACUCAGAGGAUGAUGAUGACUCUGAGGAUUAUGAUGAUAACAAGGAAGUAAUAUCAAACCGUCCAAGAUGUGAACCACAAUCUUGGAGAGGUUCUAGUAAAGUUUCAUCAAUAGGAAAGUCUGUGAGGACUAUAAGAUCUGAUUCAUCUGAUGAUAGGGCAGGAAGAAGAAAACCAAGAAGACAAUGGCAACAAGAACUAGCAAUAGUACUACACCAAGAGAAGCAUUCAGAAACUCUCACUACAUCAGAGCCAGAAGAUGAUGAUGAUGAUGAUGUUAUGGAAGAGAGUGAGGCAGAGCAACCUGAUGUUACCUUGGAGGAGGAAGAGGAAGAAGUUGCUGCUGUUUGGGAAAGCCAGAGCAAUGCAAGCAAUGAGCAUUAUGAAGUUGAUAGAAAAGCUGAUGAGUUCAUAGCAAAGUUCAGAGAACAGAUUAGGUUGCAGAAACUUCAUUCUGGUGAGCAACGAAGAGGAGGUGGCACUGGCGUUAUCAGAAACAGACACUUCAGAUGAUACUACACUACACUCACCAUUGCUUCAUUUUUACUUGUAUUAUUUUGAUGUAAUAAUUUAUUUGUCUGCAUUUGUUGAUGAGAAUCUUGUUGAAUCAUCACUCUCUUUGUUUGAGGUUUAUACUGUUGAGUAAAAUGAAAAUUUAUUAAUGAAUAAUUAUGCUCUUUGACUG
rnacentral:lncRNA from 1 species